rnacentral:rRNA from 1 species
CCUACGGGAGGCAGCAGUGAGGAAUAUUGGUCAAUGGACGAGAGUCUGAACCAGCCAAGUAGCGUGAAGGAUGACUGCCCUAUGGGUUGUAAACUUCUUUUAUAUGGGAGUAAAAUGUUCCACGUGUGGGAUUUUGUAUGUACCAUAUGAAUAAGGAUCGGCUAACUCCGUGCCAGCAGCCGCGGUAAUACGGAGGAUUCGAGCGUUAUCCGGAUUUAUUGGGUGUAAAGGGAGCGUAGGUGGAUGGUUAAGUCAGUUGUGAAAGUUGCGGGCUCAAACGUAAAAGUGCAGUUGAAACUGGCAGUCUUGAGUGCAGUAGAGGUGGGCGGAAUUCGUUGUGUAGCGGUGAAAUGCUUAGAUAUAACGAAGAACUCCGAUUGCGAAGGCAGUGCACUGGACUGCAACUGACACUGAGGCUCGAAAGUGUGGGUAGCAAACAGGAUUAGAUACCCUAGUAGUC